GGUAUUUGAGUUGUCAGCCUCCAAGCCAAUUCAAAGUUCUCUUUUGCAGUCUUGAGGAGAGGAAUGAGGCGGCGAUCAUUGAGUUGGCUAUGAACUCCAUGGCCUUCUUAUUUCUACCAUGCAGCUCUCCUUGCUAAAAACAAUAAACACGCAGAGCAUCCAAAAGAAAAAUGUAAAUUAAGAAUUCAAAGGAGGGUAGUUUGAGAAGGUGCGAAAACUUACACGAGGAGUAUACAAGUGAAGAAGAUUAAGUAAAGUGGAGAAGGGUUCUUCAUAUAUUGUCUCAGCAUCUUUGCUCAGUGCAGGAAUCCGACACUUGCAAAUAAGAAGAGAUAGGAAAGAGAGGAAGGCCGUGGCAGGUGGUCGGAGAGGAGAG
rnacentral:misc_RNA from 1 species